rnacentral:rRNA from 1 species
UACAGAGGGGGCAAGCGUUGUUCGGAAUUGCUGGGCGUAAAGGGCGCGUAGGCGGCCUGCUAAGUCGAACGUGAAAUCCCCGGGCUCAACCCGGGAACUGCGUCCGAUACUGGCAGGCUUGAAUCCGGGAGAGGGAUGCGGAAUUCCAGGUGUAGCGGUGAAAUGCGUAGAUAUCGGUAGGAACACCAGUGGCGAAGGCGGUCUCCUGGGGCAUUCUUGACGCUGAGGCGCGAAAGCUGGGGGAGCAAACGGG